rnacentral:piRNA from 1 species
UCCGAAGCUACCGACUAAAACUGUCUC